AGCAGCCGCGGUAAUUCCAGCUCCAAUAGCGUAUAUUAAAGUUGUUGCAGUUAAAAGCUCGUAGUUGAAUUUCGGGAUUAACGUAAUGGUCGUGCCUUAAGGGGUAUGAACUGUUACUGUUGAUUUCUCACCUUCUGGAGAAUCUUGAUGUCCUUAAUUGGGUGUCUUGCGGAUCCAGGACCUUUACCUUAGAAAAAUUGAGUGUUUAAAGCAGGCAUUUUGCUCGAAUACAUUAGCAUGGAAUAAUAGAAUAGGACGGCAUGGUUCUAUUUUGUUGGUUUCUAGGAUCACCGUAAUGAUUAAUAGGGAUAGGUUGGGGGCAUUAGUAUUCAAUUGUCAGAGGUGAAAUUCUUGGAUUUAUUGAAGACUAACUACUGCGAAAA
rnacentral:misc_RNA from 1 species